GACGAACGCUGGCGGCGUGCCUAAUACAUGCAAGUCGAACGCAGUGGGGACGGGUGAGUAACACGUGGGUAACCUCCCAUCAGAGGGGAUAACACUUGGAAACAGGUGCUAAACCGAUACUGAUGGAUGAACCCGCGGUGCAUUAGCUAGUUGGUUAGGUAACGGCUCACCAAGGCCACGAUGCAUAACCGACCUGAGAGGGUGAUCUGCCACACUGGGACGGAGACACGGCCCAGACUCCUACGUUAGGCAGCAGUAGGGAAUCUUCGGCAAUGGACGAAAGUCUGACCGAGCGACGCCGCGUGAGUGAAGAAGGUUUUCAGAUCGUAAAACUCUGUUGUUAGAGAAGCGGUAUCUAACCAGAAAGCAACGGCUAACUACGAGCCAGCAGCCGCGGUAAUAC
rnacentral:rRNA from 1 species